GGGCACUUGGCACAGUGGUAGCGCGCACGCUUCGCAUUGAAUGACUUGCGUGAGGUCGGGAGUUCGAUCCUCCCAGUGUCCA
rfam:Neolentinus lepideus HHB14362 ss-1 unplaced genomic scaffold NEOLEscaffold_18, whole genome shotgun sequence.